ACAGUGGUUGUUCAGCGGUAGAAUUCUCACCUUCCAGGCAGGAGACCCAGGUUCGAUUCCCGACCACUGCA
rnacentral:tRNA from 1 species